rnacentral:piRNA from 1 species
CCACCAUGUGGAUACUAGGAAACAAAC